GAUGGUUAUCUAGCCCUUCAGUUUUGAGGUUGGUGUACUGUGUGUGAGUUUACAUGUUUAUCACACAAAGUCACUAUCCUCGAAAGUGACGGUGCACAU
rnacentral:pre_miRNA from 1 species